GGGUGAUACCUCAGUGGUAGAGCAUCUGCUUUUCAUGCAGAAUGUCCUAGUUUCAAUCUGUGACAUCUCCA